CUGCCAUGAUGUCAGCUGCAGUGGGGGAGGCGCAGUGAGGGCUGCAUGCUCCAUGGAGCCAGUGGGGGCCGGAAACAGG
rnacentral:pre_miRNA from 1 species